CCUACGGGAGGCAGCAGUGAGGACUAUUGGUCAAUGGACGAGAGUCUGAACCAGCCAAGUAGCGUGAAGGAUGACUGCCCUAUGGGUUGUAAACUUCUUUUAUAAAGGAAUAAAACGAGGCACGUGUGCCUUUUUGCAUGUACUUUAUGAAUAAGGAUCGGCUAACUCCGUGCCAGCAGCCGCGGUAAUACGGAGGAUCCGAGCGUUAUCCGGAUUUAUUGGGUUUAAAGGGAGCGUAGAUGGGUUGUUAAGUCAGUUGUGAAAGUUUGCGGCUCAACCGUAAAAUUGCAAUUGAUACUGGCAGUCUUGAGUACAGGUGAGGUAGGCGGAAUGCGUGGUGUAGCGGUGAAAUGCUUAGAUAUCACGAAGAACCCCGAUUGCGAAGGCAGCUUACUAAACUGUGACUGACAUUGAUGCUCGAAAGUGUGGGUAGCAAACAGGAUUAGAUACCCGUGUAGUC
rnacentral:rRNA from 1 species